rnacentral:rRNA from 1 species
GACGAACGCUGGCGGCGUGCCUAACACAUGCAAGUCGAGCGGAGUCGAUCGACGGAAGCCUUCGGGCGGAAGAUGGUUGACUUAGCGGCGGAUGGGUGAGUAACGCGUGGGCAACCUGCCUCGAAGACCGGGAUAACAGCCCGAAAGGGCUGCUAAUACCGGAUGUGGUCAAGGAUCCGCAUGGAUUUUUGAUUAAAGGGGAAACCCGUUUCGAGAUGGGCCCGCGUCCUAUCAGCUAGUUGGUGAGGUAAAAGCUCACCAAGGCGACGACGGGUAGCCGGCCUGAGAGGGUGACCGGCCACACUGGAACUGAGACACGGUCCAGACUCCUACGGGGGGCAGCAGUGGGGAAUCUUCCACAAUGGGCGAAAGCCUGAUGGAGCGACGCCGCGUGAGCGAAGAAGGCCUUCGGUUGUAAAGCUCUGUCUGGAGGGACGAAGGAAGUGACGGUACCUCCGGAGGAAGACCACGGCUAACUACGUG